CGAGGAACCCAAAGAUGAUGAAGAAUAAGGAUACUUUCUCUUUUUCUUUCUGGAUCCACACAUCAGAUUUCUACAAUAGAGAUCAAGAGAAGAAUCCUUUCUUUUCAAUUCUCCUAUGCACAAGAGAACCUUUCUCUCUUCCUUCCACACCUUUAAGAAGAACUUUUCUUCUCAAAUUUUUUAUGAUAAAAACUAGAUCUAAUCUAAUUUUUUAUACUAAAAAUUAUAUAAAAUCUUAAGCUCUAGAAGAAUAUGAAA
rnacentral:lncRNA from 1 species